GUGCCAGCAGCCGCGGUAAUACAAACCGUCCAAACGUUAUUCGGAAUCACUGGGCUUAAAGGGUGUGUAGGCGGUUCGGCAAGUCAGAUGUGAAAUCCCCCGGCCUAACCGGGGAACUGCGUUUGAAACUGCCGUGCUUGAGUGCGAUAGGGGUGCGCGGAACUUCCAGUGGAGCGGUGAAAUGCGUUGAUAUUGGAAGGAACGCCGGUGGCGAAAGCGGCGCACUGGGUCGUUACUGACGCUGAGACACGAAAGCCAGGGGAGCGAACGGGAUUAGAUACCCCGGUAGUCCUGGCUGUAAACGAGGGGCACUAGACGGGAGACGCUUCGGCGGAUCCGGUCGCAGCGAAAGCACUAAGUGCCCCGCCUGGGGAGUAUGGUCGCAAGGCUGAAACUUAAAUGAAUUGACGGGG
rnacentral:rRNA from 1 species